ensembl:miRNA
GACAGCUCCUGUAGUACUAAAGUGCUUAUAGUGCAGGUAGUGUUCAGUAAUCUACUGCAUUAUGAGCACUUAAAGUACUGCUAGCUGUAGAA